UGGGUUCGAGCCCCACGUUGGGCGACGGUUACUUUUUCUCUGGUCCCAUUUUAGACUCGGGUUAAAAAAAAAAAAUAAUCAAAAAAAAAAAGGGAACAACUCAAUUUCUCGGUUCCUGAGUUUAUGUGUGUAUCCGCGGGGAAACUGGAACCAGGAGGUUACAAUGUAUCUAGGGCAGAACAGGGACAGCCGCGGGAAGUACCCUGCGCUACGUCACUACUCUCACCCGGGCUCCGGCCCGAUCGGGCGUCGCCAGUUUGGCGGUUUCUUCCCCCAGGCCACGAAGAACGUCCUGAACUGAGAGGACCGAAAACUUUGACUUGUUGGAACCCAAGGUCAUGUUGACUUUCUGAGAAGAUUCCUACUCCUGCUCCAAAGUGACAACUGAUGGUAUGCCAAUAGUUGGAUUCCUUGUGCCUAAU